UACUAAGAAACAUGAAAUAAAUAAGAGGGUUAAUACCGUGCUGGCCCACAGCUGGCCCUUAAGUAAUGGCGAUCAUUGCUAUGUCCCCGGCUUUUCCUCCUGCCACUGCCCUGGACCCCAUGCUUCAUCUCCAUCAAUUCUUGCCCACCAUUGUAUCAAUGCCUGGGCCGCCCUAACGGAUUGCCUUGAGCUGAGUGGCUUACAACAGCAGCAAUGCAUUCUCUUGCAGUUCUGAAAGCCAGAAGUCUGAGAAGCUUCAGGGACAUCAAGGUGUGAGCAGGGCUGAGUGCCCUCCAGCGACCCAGGGGAGAACCCUGGCCUUACCCAAUUUCUUUCUGGCUGCUGCACGCUUCACCCCAGUGUGGUCUUCUUCUCAGAGCAUAUCAAAUUUCUCUGGGCCUCUCUCCUGUGAGGACACUUCUUGUUGGAUUUAGGGCCCACCUGGGUAAACCAGGCUAAUUUCCUUCUGAUGAGAUUCUUAACAUAUUUUUUUUUUGGGGGGGGGGUACUGGGGAUUGAACCCAGGGGCACUCAACCACUGAGCCACAUCCCAGCCCUAUUUUUAAUUUUAGUUUUUAGAGACAGAGUCUCACUGAGUUGCUUAGCGCCUCACCUUUGCUGAGGCUGGCUUUGAACUCGUGACCCUCCUGUCUCAGCCUCCCAAACUGCUGGGAUUAUAGGUAUGCACCACCAUGCCUUAACAUAAUUCUUAACAUAAUUACCUCUUCCGUGUAAUUGAACAUUUAGGAAUUAGGAUCUUGCUUCUGCCUUCCUCCUCUCCCACCUCUUCGCCCUCCCUGCAGACCUCAAUUCCCUCAGAAUAGCUUUUCCUGUUUCUCCAGAGUGAGUCCAAUCCCUUUCUCACAGGCAGCUCCUUCUCUCUCUGUGGAGACUCUCACAAGUGUCAUUUCACAUGGACCCAUUUGUGCAAAAAGCUGCACCAGGCCAGGGACCCUGUCUGUCCUGUCCUUAUCCCCAAGCCUGGCUCAAUAUCAGUACACAGGAGAGCUCUCGAGACAUACCAUGGGAGGAACAAGUAGUCCAAGUGGAGAGGGAAGUAAAGAGCAGGUAGCUGCCUUCCCCCCAAAGCACUGGGCUGCUAGGCCCUGGCUCAAAGAGGUGGGACAACAGAUGGACGGACAGCGGUCUUGACAUUGUUUGGCUGCCUUAUCUCUGAGGUUUGAUGCCUGAACUGUUCUUCCACUUCUCCUCGAGAGAACUUUAAGGAAGAACGCAAGAGAAGAGAAACCACAGGCCUGUUCAGUCAGAGGGGACACGGAAUGAAAUAGUGGCUACCCACUAAGUCAACCUUCCAAACGUGCCGCUGAGCUACCAGGACAGGCGAGCAAGUGGAUGGGCUUUCAGAACAGUCCCUUCCACAGGGAGAGAAGAAAAAUCCCUCCCAAUCUUGCAGUGCAUGGUUUUCAGGCACAGUCAGCCAGUGUCUGGGACUUCUGUGCAGCCUCCUAGGCCGGAAGUGUCUUUCCUCUCUCUGCCUGUUCCCCACCCCAUGCUCCUCUGUCACCCCUGCUUGGCUGGACUAACUCCCCACAGGGCCCUUUCCAACUUUGCCCCUCUAUGUAGGAAACAGAGCAUGCACGGUCAAGACGCUGAGCUUUGGAUCAGAGCAGAUCUGGACAUCAUUUCUCAAGUUCCUGCUUCACCUCCUCCUUGGCAGGUGAGGACUUGGAAGAGAGUUCACCCCUAAAUCUCUGUCUUCUCAUCCAUUAGGUGGAGGAAGUUACCUCUCUCAAUUAUCCCAAGGGUUGACUCAGGUUCUGGUAGGAGAAACCUCGAGAAUUUCCAGAGCCUGACCCACGGGUAUCAUUGCUGAUCCCUGUACCUUUCCUGCUCCCCAGCACCCCAGAAGGACUCAGCACUCAGAGUGCUCUGCACACACUGCUCCAAAAGCAUCCUUGGCUAUUUUAUUUGCCUUCACAGAGACAUGUCUGAUUGAUCUUGGGUCCCCAGUGCCUAUGGUUGUUUAUAUAUAAAGCGGGGGAAAAAUCAGAGGUUCUAUUUGGAAUCAUCAGAAGUGUUAUGGUUAAAUUAUUUCAAAGGUGCCAUAAAAGAGGUGUAAACUGUUUUUCACAUUUUUAGCAAACAAAUGGUUUAAGGACCUAAAUAUUUAGAAUUAUCCAUAUGGAAAUCUGGUCAUAAUAAUAAAUGACUAGAAAGCCAUCAGUAUUUGCCUUCGACUUUCAAAUUUUGAUGAGUCUUUUAAGCUUUUUUUCCCUAAAAUUACUCAAGUUUAUGAAACUAGUCUGAUCGUGAUUUCACAGCAAAUUUUCCCUCUUCAUCUAACAUGAAGAUUAAAUUUGAAGUGUUUAAAAGAUAGAUGAACCGCUACAGGACAAAAAGGUAAUUAGAAAUGAUGGCCAUUGUCCAUGAAGGCACACAAAUUAAGGGAUUGUCACCCAGGACAGCGAUUCUAUCAGUGAUGAAUCUGGCAUUUCACUUGACUACCUAUCCAGUACAAUUAUGGGAGAGUACCCAAGAUGACCCAGUGAACAGACAGCUUGGGCCAUUCGUCUCUGGCAGUAUGGCAGAGAGAGAUGACCUUUACUUAACCUUGAGAAUAACUCUACCCCUUCUCCUGGCCAAAAUAAGGAAUAUAUGCCAAUGCCUAUUGACAAUCCAUUUGCAGAAGUUAGUGAAUGUUUGGUCUAAGUCAAUGAUAUCUUUGCCUUUUUGAACUUUCUUUUACAAAAUAAAGGUCUUCCGUAGGCCACCUUGGACACUGGACAGGACCACACACCAAGGAUGGAUGCAUGACAAAUUUAUAAGUAACUGUUAUCUGUUGUUAUUUUUUUUUUUAUUUUAUUUUUUUUAGUUUUGGCGUUUUGGUUUUCUUACUCAAACAGUCAUCUAAAUGAACAUAGAGAGAUACCAAGUUGCCUCCGCCACUUUCUUGCUGGAUAACAAUCUACUUUCAUUCCUUCAGGUAUUCAGAAAAUGUUGAUUGUUGUCAGCAGUCCAACAGAUAAAUGGUUCCAAAACAAAUCCUAAAUCAAGCACUGCUUCUAGAUUUAACCCCUUCCGUCCCAAAGAGGCCGUGGAAUGAUUUGUGCAAAGAUCUGAAGUAAACAAAAUCGGAUCCGAUGUCCAACCCUUCAAAGAAAAGGGUUUCAGGGAAGUUAAAUCCCCAAACUUGCCCUCCUUUUCACCCCCUCAGUCCAUCCUUAUCAGGACUUUCUUGUCACCGACAGGAUUAGUGGUCAUUACUUCAACAACUAAAUCAGAAUUUUCGUGUUGGGUUAAUCGUGACAAUGUCAUGAGUCAAAUAGCUUAUGUGAUUGAAAGGCACGGACGAAAUCCAUCAACCACACAUGCUGUGGGCAGUAGACUACACCAGAAAUGUUCUUGAUUAAAAGUUGGCCAGAUAUUGGCAAAGUUUAUUACAUGAUGAGAGAAUUUUAAAUCUACAUAAAAAAUGAAUAUGGAAUAGUAACUGAUGACUGAUUUUUAAGAUAUACUUUCAUUGUUCAUUUAUAAGAAUCAUUUAUUUUAAGUAAAAAAAAUUAUUGUAGAUCAUUUUAAAACCACAGAGAAUAAACAAAAAAAAUGCCUAAUAUCACCCCUAAGCCAUCACCCCAAAACAAUUGCUCUUAAAAGUCUGAUAUAAAACCUUCUAAGUUUGUGUGUUUAUUUGUGUGUAAGUAGUUAACAAGUAAUGAUAUCAUUCUGUAAAUACAAUUAAGUGUGCCUCAUUUUUUAGACAUUAUAUUGUGCCAUUAUAUACUUAAUAAGGGUAUAAUAUUGCUUCCUAUGGAUGUGCUAUAAUUUAUUUCACAAAGUCCUUCUUAUUAGACUUCAAGGAUGAGUUUAAAUUUUUAUUUUUACAAAUGUCAUAAUGAAAAAUAUUCUCAUAUAAAAGUCUCUGUCUUUAUUUCUGAUGAUAUUCUGAAGAAAGAUAUUCUUAGAGACAUAAAGAGAUAAAAUUCGGGCUGGAGUUGUGGCUCAGUGGUAGAGCGUUUGCCUAGCAUGUGUGAGACACUGGGUUCAAUCCCCAGCACCACAUUUUUAAAAAACUGAAUAAACAAAAUAAAGGUAUUGUGUCCAUCUACAAUUAAAAAUAUUUUUAAAAGAAUAUAAAUUUCAUAAAAGCUCUUGCUGAGAUUGUAACCUCAGUUUUACAUUCCUAUCAGCAAACUAACCGUUCGCUUGUCAACAUAGUGCUGAUAACCUACUUAUUUAUUUUAAUUUGUGUUUUAUGCUUGUCAUGCUUCAAUUAUUCAAAAAAUCGAUAGUGAGUUUUCCACAUCAUUUUCAGAAUAAUGAAAUAAGUGCAUCUACCAUGGGUAGAUGACAGCCUGUGAUUACUUAGGAAUUUGCUUAAGACUUAUUUAAGUAGCCAACUUAUAGGAGGUGCUUUUUCUGACAGCCCAGGAGACAGAAAUCAGGUUUCUUCACACAUGCCACCUCUCAAGAUGUACUUUCUGCUCUCUGAAACCUGAAGUCCUCAGGCCCGACACAGGCUGCACCUGGACUGCGCUCAUAGCUCUGUGGUUCACCACCAAUGCUGCCUCUGUAAUGUGUCAAGUAGAAAGAGAGUCUGGUCUCAGCUCAGGGUCUUAAUUGGAUCUGUGAGUCAUUUUCUCCUCAGGCACCCCAGCUUUUGAAUGAGAUCACCCCACCUUGAUGCCCCUGCCAUCCUGAGUGCUACGAGGCUGCUCAAAAGGAUCAACCAAUAAGUCACACUCAGGAAUGAGGAAGAGGAAAUAUUGUUACAGUGACUGGGGAGGCUGAGGCAGGAGGAUCACAUGUUCAAGGCCAGCCUCAGCAACUUAGCAAGACUCUCAGCAACUUAGCAAGACUCUCUCAAAAUUAAAAAUAAAAAAAGGGCUGGGAAUGUGCUCAUUAGUAAUUAAGGAAGAAGGAGGAGGAGGAGGAGGAGGAGGAGGAGAAGGAGAAGGAGGAGAAGGAGGAGAAGAAGGAGAAAGAAGAAGAAAGAAGGAAAGAAAAAAGAAAAAGACACAACAAUCUCUCAUGCCACCCAGAGCAAGGAGGCUGCUGGGCAUCAGAAAUUCAAAGGAACCAAGAAUGAGCUAACAGAACUCCUGUCUGCUUGUCUUUCCUCCUCUGACCACAUCUGUUUCAUUUCAUCUCUGCAGACCAGUUACUCCACUCCCUAAGGCCAAAUUCUCUACCCAUCCCCAGCUCCUCAGUGCUUCAGUUAUAGGCUCAGCCAGUGACCAGAAUGGCUUUGCUUGUGAACUGAGUGAUGAUCUCCAAAGAAGAGAGAACUAUUAGGUAUAUGCUCUAAAAAAGUUCUGCAGCAGGACAAAUGAAAGCAUUAAUAAGAAUUCUUCACAGGCUGAUGCCAAAAUUACAGGUGAAUCUCUUUUUUUUCUGGAGAAGUUGCCAGAGUAAAAAAACCUAUUAUGAGGCUGGAUGUCACUGCCAAUCUACAUAAAUCACGGUCCUUCUUUGACUAAUAAGAAACAAUGUUUUCUUUUAUUUGGACUUGAAUUUUGAAGAGAUGGUACACCAAAUAACAACUAGGUCAGGGGAUAAUAAAGAAAAGGCACGGUCCCAGUCCCUGGGGUCUUGACUAUUUAGAAGCUAUUUGGAAAAUUUUUUAUGUUACUUUUACUAUACCUGCUGUGUUUUAGAUAAUUAUCUCCCAAGGAUCCGUGUAUUGAAAUGUGGAUCCCCAGCCUUGGAGCUAUUGGGAGAUGGUGGAAGUUUCAGGGGGUGGGACAUAAUGGAAGGAACUUAGGUGGCUGUGGGUGUGCCCUUGAAAGGGACAUUGGAACCCUAGUUCCUCCUGUUCCUCUCUCUGUGUCCCAGUUGCCAAGAGGUAGUAGCUUGCUUCAGCACUUACUCUCCAUCAUGAUGUCCUGCCUUGCCACAGGUCUAAAGGAAAUGGGGUCAAGAGAACAUGGACCAAACCCUCUGAAAUGAUGAGCUGAAAUAAAGUUUUCCUCCUAAUAAGCUGAUUUUCUCAAGUAUUUGAUUACAGGAACUGUGUUAGACAGCUUUUGCCACUGUGACAAAAUACCUGAGAAAAUCAACUUACAGGAGGGAAGAUUUAUUUAAUGCUGUCUCUUGGUCAUGUUUUGAAUGUUUUGUUGACUGCAUAAGACAAAGAUGGAAAAGACUGCUGAGAUGGCUGAGGUGACAAUGACGGCUGAUGAGGUGGACGAGCUAGGUGGAGGUCAGAUCAUACCACGCAGUAUUUUGGUAACUGAAAUAACUGACAGCAGAGAAACUGUCAGGAUGGGAUGAGCUUUGUGGCCUUCUUUUGUGUGCAGAAAAAUAAUUGUGUCAUUUUCAAGGUCAAUUUAAAAAAAAAAAAAAAAAAGCUGCUUGAAGAGUGGGAAGAAAGAGGGAGGGAAAUGGUUUCAGCAUUUCAUUUAAACAAGGGCCGGCCCCAGAGACAUUUGCUCUUAUGCAGGAUUCAAGAAUUAGAAGAGGAACACACAUAGAAAAUCCAAUAUUUAGGCCAGAAUGCUUUUCUUUGGCAUAAGGCAAAUGAAGAAGUAAACAUACACUCAAAGACCCUUGAGAAUACUUUUGUUAAACAUCAGCCACUGUUUGCAAGGACAAGCUCAUGCUUAUGAAUAAGAGCAUUGCAAAGCAGAAUAAAAUUCAAGAAGCUAUCCAACAAUCCAAGGCUAAGAGUGGACAAAUCUGGGCUGAGGAUAUAGCUCAGUUGGUAGAGUGCUUGCCUUGCAUGUGCAAGGCCCUGGGUUCAAUCCCCAGCACCAAAAAAAAAAAGAAGAGUGGAAAAAUGAAUAACAACAUGUGGCAUAUUCCUGCAGUGCAUAUUAUUCAGCCAGAUACAGGAACAGUGCACUGAUAAAUGCUUAAGUUGUGUGGACCUUCAAAACAUCAUGCUUAUGAAAGAACCAGUGACAAAAGGCUGUAAAAUAUAUGAUUUCAUUCACAUGAAAGUCAAGAAUGAGGAUAUUUACAAAGACCAAACGCACAUUCGAGCCUAGCACACAUACAGAUGGUACCUACCUGUAAUUCCAGCUACUCUGGACUCUUGCAAGUUCAAGACCAGCCUUGGCAAUUUAGCAGAACUCUGUGUCAAAAUAAAUAAUAAAGCUGAGCACAGUGACACUCGCCUGUAAUUCCAGCAGCUUGGGAGGCUGAGGCAGGAGGAUCACAAGUUCAAAGCCAGCCUCAGCCACUUAGCAAAGCCCUAAGCAAUUCAGUAAGAGCCUGUCGCUAAGUAAAAUAUAAAAAAAGGGCUGGGGAUGUGGCUCAGUAGUUAAGUGCCCCUGGAUUCAAUCCCCAGUACCAAAAAAUAUAAUAAUAAAUGAAUAAACAGAUAAAUAAAUAAUAGAAAGGCCUGGGGAUGUAGCUUGGUGGUAGAGGGUCCCUGAGGUCAAAAGAAAAGAAAAAUUUUAAAAAGUAGAUUCCUGGCUCUUUUAGGACUGGGGUAGGGCCGUAGGAGGGGUGAUGACUAAAUGAUAAGGGAGUUCUUUUUGGAGAUGAUGGAAUGUUCUGCAGCUGAUGUGGGGAUGGUUUUACACACGACUGUGAAAAUCCUAGAGAACAGUAAGUUGUACGAUUUAUAUGGUAAAUCAGGGAGUACAUGAAUUCCGGUCUCAGUACAGUGGCUCUAAAAAAUGAAUUAAUGAAUAGGUAAAAACGGAAACGACAACAACAGAAAGCUAAGUCACCCAUGUUUAGACCGUCCUGAACAUCUGCAAAACUAACCCUGAAAACUGAGAAGAACUGGUUGGCCUGGGGGACCUCUUGAUAAAGCUCUCUCAGCUAGUGUUGCCUAGUUAUGCCAAGUGGAUUUGUAUACAUUUUAUUACAUCUUAUGCAACACAUGACAGUUUUUAAAUGGUAUCCCCAAAACAUAGGACCCAAAAUAAUCUCUUUCCACUUUAAAUCCAAGCACGUUGGUGAUUAGUUGUUCUCUCUCUCUUUCCAUUGAAUAUUUGCCAUUUGACAAAUGCCGUAACAAGUUUUUCACAAAUCACAUUUUGGGACAUGUCCAUAGUUUAUCAAAGCAUGAAAAGUAUGACCAAAUUUGAGAAGCCCAUCUGAGCUUGGCAAAUAUAAUUUCUUCUCUACAAAUAAGAAUGUCAGAAGUUGUUGCAAUUUUUAAAGCCAACCAAAAUGGUCAGUAAGGAGGACCAGUAAGUCUUCUGAAUGCUAAGAGCUGGGAUUGCCGCUGCUCUGGUCAGAGCACCAGACUGCAGUAGAAAAGAUGUAAAAGGUGUCAUUUGCUUAUCAUGUAAAUUCAGAGACACCGUGGGUACUGUUCAAGAGGCUGCUGCUUCUGCAUGCUAACAAGUGUCCCAGAUUUGGAAAAUACGGAGCAACUACAGAAGGAAUCAGAACAAAAAGAAGCUGAAGGCACAAAUACAGCCCUCCUCCAGCCUGGUCCAGGAGCGGGGAAAAGCUCUUGAGGUCUCAGGAUCCUCGACUUCCAUGGGUAGACAGCAAACCAAAGGGACCCUUAUUUUCACAGAAAGUCUCCAAAAAACAGGGGGACACCCAGUCCAGAGACCAAGCAGCAAAAUUCACAUGGAAGUCCCGUAGGAAGUUUGGUUACUUGGAGGCAAAUCUGCCAAAUGUUCAGUGUCUUGAAAACACCUUACUGGCAGACAUGGGGCAGAACCACAGUCCCCUGGUGUGGAUUUGGAUGUCAGGGAUGGACUAGGACAAAGGAAAGCUAUUAUUAUUAUUAUUAUUUAUGAAAAAUAAACUGAUUCCAGACUUUAGGGGGAAAUUGGAGAAACAAUGUUUUCUUUGAGCCAAAGCUAUGUUCAUUCAGACUCCACCCAGGGGGGCUGUGGGGAUGCACAUUUCUCCAGGGCUGAGCCGGUCAGUGGUGAUGCCUUCCCUGGAGGACCUCUGUGGGGUGUGGCUCGGCAGCUCAGUGACUGAUCUUCCAUUGUGCUGCCUAGAACAGUGUUUGCUCAAGUCAGCUCUGAAGGGGAAUGGAUGUGUGUUUAUAUUGGGGGAAAUUCUGCAUUUAGGCAUGUUUACACUGAAACCACUUCAAGAAGCUUUCGAGAUUUUAGCAAAAUAAAAUGAUUUAUACUAAAACUAACCAUACACAUACCCUGUGACCCAGGAACACUCCUAGAUAUACUCAGCAGAAAUGUGCACAAAAGACAUAAAAAAAUGUUCAUUGCAUUAUUAUUCUUAAUAGCCAAAAGGCUGGAAGCAAUCCAAAUGUACAUUAAUAAUAGAAUGGAUAAAUAAAUAGUGAUAUAUUCCUACAACAGAAUGCCACAGAACAAUGGGUGACUCUUAUGUACAGUGUCAAGUGAAAAAAACAGGCAAAAUUGAAUACAUGCUACAUGAUUGAUACCAUUUAUAUGAAAUCAAAAUUGGGCAAACUAAUUUAUAGGAUUGCAAGUUAAAAUAUAUAGUUGCUUUGAAAUGGUCUAAAUCAGAAAACUAUGCUACACAUAAAUCAACAAUGCCAUCAAUAAAAUCUGAACAAUAUAAAAAAAAGAAUUUAGAAUAGUGGUUACCUUUGAGGAGGAGAAUAAGGGAGGCAGCUGGUGUUGUGGAAGGUGUGUUAUAUGAAAAUGUAAAAAGCACUUAUGAUUUGCUUGUUUGUCCAUAUCUGUUGUGUUGA
rnacentral:lncRNA from 1 species